CACAGCAGCUUGCUCUCCUGGCUGGCUUCCCGCACCACCUGCAGCGCCACCCCGCGGCCGCCUGUGGCCUGGGACGGUGAAUAUCCUGGACUUGUCAGGGUAGAUGGGCUAGGAUUCUAGAGCCUAGAAUCAAUGCAACACUCCCUGGACCGCUGCUUUGCUGUUGUUAAUCCUGCUGACCUCACCUUUGUAGCCCCUUCCUGUUUAGAGCCUCUGGGAUUAGUGCUUCAGAAGCUAUGAUCCCCUGAAGUCAAAUGAGACCAAUUUAGUAUGCGUAUAUGGGAUUCCAGUUUGUGCCUCCUCAACCAUACAAAGCCACAUCUGUCUACAUACCCCACAAGGUGUGACCUCUGCAAGGCCAAAAUCAGCACAGAUAACUAAAAGGCAGCUGUCUACAGAAGAGAAUUAAUAAUGGUGUCUGCUGAGGGAGGAUACACUGAUGCCAAAUCAGACCCUCAAAGAUCUUCUAAACCUAUGCUUCCCCUAUCAGAUCUUACUAUUACUGCUGUUAAUGAUAAUAAUUAAAGCUCAUUCUUGC
rnacentral:antisense_RNA from 1 species